CCUACGGGAGGCAGCAGUGGGGAAUCUUGGACAAUGGGCGCAAGCUGAUCCAGCCAUGCCGCGUGAGUGAAGAAGGUCUUCGGAUUGUAAAGCUCUUUUACCAGGGACGAUAAUGACGGUACCUGGAGAAUAAGCCCCGGCAAACUUCGUGCCAGCAGCCGCGGUAAU
rnacentral:rRNA from 1 species